CGGGACGAGUGAGGGAGUUCGAACCGGAGUAGCCGACUCUGGCAGGAGACAGACGGUUUCCGCUGGGGCCGACGUCGACGGUCCGGGCUGAGAGGCCGGAAGGCAGCAGUCAGGCCGGAAGGCGACCCCUGGAACCUGAUCCGGGCAAUACCGGCGAAGGGAACCCGUCUCGUAGGUCG
rnacentral:ncRNA from 1 species